ACAAAAUCAAUUUCAUUUUUAGCAUCACCAGUUGCCCAAACUGUCCUUUAUCCCAAAUAUGAUUACUCCAAAAAUGAAAAGAAUGGGAUUUUGCAGUUCUUUACAAGCUGGCGUUCAUCUUCGCUAACUUCGGCCCCAACUCAACAACCUUUGUACUGCCGACGGAGCUUUUUCCCACUAGGCUUGGAUUUUUCUGUACCUUCCAUGUGACUAAGAUGAAAGGGAGGUCACUAGAAGAGAUUUCCAGUGGUGGUGACGUCGAGGAAACAUAGAUGACCGCAAAACAAACAGUUAAUCAUCUCGAAACAAACGGUUUUAGUUGCACCGAAAUCCUCGUUGCAGUGGAAAACCAAACCAAAAGGGCCCAUACAUUGGCUUCUUGAAGCUAUAUAAGGAUAAAAGUGAUCGCCGCAUGGAUUUCGUGCCAGACGAAUCUAGGGCCAUUUGUUGAAUCUAGAGCAAAUCUACUGGAGUUUGUCUAUUGGUUGGAUUUUGUUGCAACUUGUUUGGACUUAGAUAAAUGGAAAAUUAUCUAAUGGUGGAAUGGGUUUGAUAAGCUCUUUUGCUUGAACUUGGUGAAAAUCAUUCAGAAAUUAUGAUAUUAGGAGUUGAAAGUUUAGUCGAUGGUGUUUUUGUUUUGGCGUUAUUUUAUGUGGCCUGGAUAUUGGAGUUUUCUACAGUGAGAAGUAGGGUAGGGUUGGGUCUGCCAGAGUGGGGGAGAGAGAUUUGAAUUUCUUAGAUUGCUGGAGUGGGGUAGAGUAAGAUGGAGUGGUCGCUGAAGUCAAUGGCCAUCUCUGAAGUGGAGGGAAGGUGGUGUAGUAGGGUGAGG
rnacentral:lncRNA from 1 species